rnacentral:snRNA from 1 species
GUGCUCGCUUCGGCAGCACAUAUCCUAAAAUUAGAAUGAUACAGAGAUUAGCGUGACCCCUGCGCAAGGAUGACACGCAGAUUUGUGAAGCAUUCCUUAUUUUU